rnacentral:rRNA from 1 species
UACGUAGGGUGCAGGCGUUAAUCGGAAUUACUGGGCGUAAAGCGUGCGCAGGCGGUCUUUUAAGUCAGAUGUGAAAUCCCCCGGGCUUAACCUGGGAACUGCGUUUGAAACUGGAAGGCUUGAGUGUGGCAGAGGGGGGUGGAAUUCCACGUGUAGCAGUGAGAUGCGUAGAGAUGUGGAGGAACACCGAUGGCGAAGGCAGCCCCCUGGGCUAACACUGACGCUCAUGCACGAAAGCGUGGGGAGCAAACAGG